GCGCUUGUGGCGGAAUUCGGUAGACGCAUCAGUCUGAGAGGCUGACGGGAGACCACGCCGGUUCGACUCCGGCCGAGCGCA
rnacentral:tRNA from 1 species